rnacentral:antisense_RNA from 1 species
GGCCUAGGGGAUGCCAAAUUCCAGGGUCCAGAAAGAGCUUGGGAUAAAAUGAAACUUCAAGGGGACGGCUUUGACCUGGGCUGAGUCUGCCUGUGCCGAGUCUGCCUGUGCCAUCCAACUGGAGUCUCAAGUCCUGAGGCAGGACGUCCAGGUGCCCCAAUGCAGGGUCCUCCUGAUCAACACCUGCUCCCCUGUACUCAUUAGCAACCUCACCCACCCUACUCUCAAAGCACACUUGGCUCUCAUAUCCAGGAGCUCUGCAUCUGUAGAUCCAGCAACAGCAGAUGGAAAAUAUUCAGAAAAUAAUUUGGAUGGUUAUGUUUCUAUU